rnacentral:rRNA from 1 species
CCUACGGGUGGCAGCAGUGAGGAAUAUUGGUCAAUAGACGAGAGUCUGAACCAGCCAAGUAGCGUGAAGGAUGACUGCCCUAUGGGUUGUAAACUUCUUUUAUAUGGGAAUAAAAUGUUCCACGUGUGGGAUUUUGUAUGUACCAUAUGAAUAAGGAUCGGCUAACUCCGUGCCAGCAGCCGCGGUAAUACGGAGGAUCCGAGCGUUAUCCGGAUUUAUUGGGUUUAAAGGGAGCGUAGGUGGAUUGUUAAGUCAGUUGUGAAAGUUUGCGGCUCAACCGUAAAAUUGCAGUUGAAACUGGCAGUCUUGAGUACAGUAGAGGUGGGCGGAAUUCGUGGUGCAGCGGUGAAAUGCUUAGAUAUCACGAAGAACUCCGAUUGCGAAGGCAGUUCACUGGACUGCAACUGACACUGAGGCUCGAAAGUGUGGGUAUCAAACAGGAUUAGAUACCCUAGUAGUC